CCGGCCUAUAGUCUGGCAGCCACGUGCUCCAGGCCCUCAGUGGCAGGAAGACGCUAAUUGGGAACAUUUGUGUUUAGGACUUUACAACACUGGACACUGCUUCAUGUGAGGCUCUAACAGCAGCAAAGAUGGGAACAGGUGAAGAAGCUGUGAUUGCUUCUCAACCUUGGACAUGUGCCAGAGACUUGGGGGGACAUGGAAGGAGACACUGGAAACAGACAUGGGCAAUACCACCUUCACAUGAACGAAUGAAUGACAAAAACUGUGGCUAUUUGAUUUGGUUAAUGAGCAGACAUUGUCCUGAAAAUGAGUGUGUGCUCCUUUAAGAAAUCAACUGACAAUUGAUAACUGACAGUAACUUCACCUUGACAAAAUGAGGACAAGGAGGAAGCUACACUCAGGCUGCAACAGCCACAGUCCCAGUGCUCUGAAGUGUAUCUCAGACCUUAAAGGGUAUUAGACAGCCUUCCGUGGGCCUGAGUGUUACAGGAUUUCUUUUCGCCCAUAUUGUGUGGCUUUAUGAUCCCCUGGUUUAAACCUUCACACCUGCAAGAAUGGCCCAUAUCCAAAAGACCAGAAACAACAAGUGCUGGCAAGGAUGAAAAAAGGGGACAGUCGUGCACUGUUUUUGGAUAAAGACGGAGCCAGCCCUUAUGGAAACAGUACGGAGGUUUCUUAAAGAGUGAAUGUGGUUCUGCCAUUGGACCCAGCAAUUCUACACUGAGGAUCUACUCACAGAGGAUAAAUACUCUCCUGUGAAGGGACCUGCACUCCCGUCACCACUGCAGCACUAUUUACAGUAGCCAAGCUAUGGACACCACCUGAAUGCCCCAGACAGCCGCCCUCUCUGUAGUGUCUCUACUCAGCAGUGUUUGAGCAGCCCCAGGAGUCCCUGCACCUCCUGCCUCUGACCUUGAGGGAAACCAGCCCCUCAGCCUGCUUGACAGUGAGGAGGUAAAGGCAAAGUCCUGAGGGGCAGGACCAAUGUGCUAUCCAUAGAAAAGAGAGGUUCCAGGUUACCGCCCUGCCCAAGGAAAGGUGGGGCUGAGCAGGGACGAGAAGCUAAGGAAGAGGAGGAAGACGUGGAGUGAGAUGAGGAAAGGACUGGAGGAGGCGCAUGGAGCAGAGAGACAGGUGAAGAAGAAACCACACUUGCUUCUCACUUGGACUUGUGCCAGGGAGCUGGGGACUUGGAAAGAGACACGUGAAAGACAAAAACGUGAAUGAGAGACCCAUCGGGAGGCUGACCCUUUCCCAUGGGUCUCUACCAGUAGGUGCCUUAGCCUUGUGGCAGGCCUUCGGGCCCCAGUGGGCCUGCUUUGGGCCAAGCCUGUUUGGCUGGGCAUUUACCCAUGAGGGGACGGGUAACUUUGGGUGCUUCACUUGGGAAAUAUUCGAACUAUAUUCUUUCUCUUCUCUCUCUCUACUGCACUGAUUCUCUAUUUUAUAGUAAUUAUAUUAAAGUUCUUUUCCAUUGAAGGUCUUAUGCUUUAGAGUAUGUUUUGUCUUUAUGCAGCUGUUGGCAGAUCCCAUAUAGAGUGUGCGGUUUU